rnacentral:rRNA from 1 species
AUUGAACGCUGGCGGCAUGCUUUACACAUGCAAGUCGAACGGCAGCGGACCUUCGGGUGCCGGCGAGUGGCGAACGGGUGAGUAAUAUAUCGGAACGUACCUUUCAGUGGGGGAUAACGUAGCGAAAGUUACGCUAAUACCGCAUAUUCUGUGAGCAGGAAAGCAGGGGAUCGCAAGACCUUGCGCUGAUUGAGCGGCCGAUAUCAGAUUAGCUAGUUGGUGAGGUAAAGGCUCACCAAGGCGACGAUCUGUAGCGGGUCUGAGAGGAUGAUCCGCCACACUGGAACUGAGACACGGUCCAGACUCCUACGGGAGGCAGCAGUGGGGAAUUUUGGACAAUGGGCGCAAGCCUGAUCCAGCCAUGCCGCGUGAGUGAAGAAGGCCUCGGUUGUAAGAC